rnacentral:rRNA from 1 species
AUUCAGUGGCGAACGGGUGAGUAACGCGUGGAUGAUCUACCUAUGAGAUGGGGAUAACUAUUAGAAAUAGUAGCUAAUACCGAAUAAGGUCAGUUAAUUUGUUAAUUGAUGAAAGGAAGCCUUUAAAGCUUCGCUUGUAGAUGAGUCUGCGUCUUAUUAGCUAGUUGGUAGGGUAAAUGCCUACCAAGGCAAUGAUAAGUAACCGGCCUGAGAGGGUGAACGGUCACACUGGAACUGAGAUACGGUCCAGACUCCUACGGGAGGCAGCAGCUAAGAAUCUUCCGCAAUGGGCGAAAGCCUGACGGAGCGACACUGCGUGAAUGAAGAAGGUCGAAAGAUUGUAAAAUUCUUUUAUAAAUGAGGAAUAAGCUUUGUAGGAAAUGACAAAGUGAUGACGUUAAUUUAUGAAUAAGCCCCGGCUAAUUACGUGCCAGCAGCCGCGGUAAUACGUAAGGGGCGGCGUUGUUA